rnacentral:rRNA from 1 species
AGUGAACGCUGGCGGUAGGCCUAGCACAUGCAAGUCGAACGGCAGCACAGUAAGAGCUUGCUCUUACGGGUGGCGAGUGGCGGACGGGUGAGGAAUACAUCGGAAUCUACUUUUUCGUGGGGGAUAACGUAGGGAAACUUACGCUAAUACCGCAUACGACCUACGGGUGAAAGCAGGGGAUCUUCGGACCUUGCGCGAUUGAAUGAGCCGAUGUCGGAUUAGCUAGUUGGCGGGGUAAAGGCCCACCAAGGCGACGAUCCGUAGCUGGUCUGAGAGGAUGAUCAGCCACACUGGAACUGAGACACGGUCCAGACUCCGACGGGAGGCAGCAGUGGGGAAUAUUGGACAAUGGGCGCAAGCCUGAUCCAGCCAUACCGCGUGGGUGAAGAAGGCCUUCGGGUUGUAAAGCCCUUUUGUUGGGAAAGAAAAGCAGCAGGUUAAUACCCCGCUGUUCUGACGGUACCCAAAGAAUAAGCACCGGCUAACUUCGUG